GGGCGAAACCCUAAGGUAGGGGGAACCAGCCGAUAACUGGUUCUGGGUUAGUUCGAUUCUAACUUCGUCCUA
rnacentral:tRNA from 1 species